rnacentral:sRNA from 1 species
AUAAAAUAUUGCAACUUUUUCAUGUUUUAACGUAUAUUUGUUUUUGCAAUUUGUCAUAGGUAUCACUAUGGGAAAUUCACAACAAAAAAAAAGAAAAAAGGGGGAUUAUAAUCCGUGGUCUCCAGAGGAGACUAAGCUGUUGGUGCAACUUCUUGUGGAAGGGAUCAACAAUAAUUGGCGUGAUUCUAAUGGCACAAUCAGUAAAUUAACUGUGGAAACGAAGUUUAUGCCGGAGAUCAACAAAGAGUUUUGUCGUUCAAAAAACUACAAUCACUACUUAAGCAGAAUGAAGUAUUUAAAAAUACAAUACCAAAGUUGUCUUGAUCUUCAGCGUUUCAGUUCUGGUUUUGGUUGGGAUCCUUUAACAAAAAGAUUUACGGCUUCUGAUGAAGUUUGGAGCGACUAUCUAAAAGUAAGUAUCUCAUUUUCUUUUUUAAGUGAACAUGGUCGUACUUACAUAUUAUUAAUAUGUCCCUUUGUUUUUGUAGGCACAUCCGAACAAUAAACAACUUCGUUAUGAUACAUUUGAAUUUUUUUACGAGUUGCAAAUCAUAUUUGGGGAAGGUGUUGCUACUGGAAAAAAUGCAAUUGGAUUAUGUGAUAGUACGGAUGCACUUACGUACAAAGCUGGAGAGAAUCCAAGAAAAGAAUAUGUGGAUGAUUUUGACAACGUGUAUGAGUAUGAUACUACAACUCAUCAUGAGUCAUCGGAGCAUUACACACCAUUUAUGUCUCAUGGAACUUCAGAAAGUCCUACAGAGAAGCUUCCCCCACGUAAAAGAACAAGAUCUGAGAGAAGUACUUCACAAAAAGAAGAAAGUCCUAUGAUGGUUGUUAGCAGUAAAAUUUUGGAUAUAAUACAACAAAGAGAAGAGAGGCAACAAAAAGAAGUGGCACAGAAAAAGAAUAACGUUUGGGAUGCUAUAAAAGAAAUUUCUGACUUGGAUGAAUGUAUUCGUUACAAGGCACUUACCAAAAUUUAUCAUUUGGGAAUACAAGACGUUUUCGUGAGCAUGUCGGUGGAAGAGAGGCUAGGAUGAAUUCAAACCAUUAUGGAAUAAUUUGAGCUUAAUUUUUAUUUUCUUUGUUUUUAAAGUUUUUAAUUUGGAUUCACCAAAAUUAUUAUGAAUAAAUUCUUUAUCUUAUUUUUUAUUCUCAAACUUCAAAACUCUAGAAAACUUGAAACAAAAAAAUAAAAAAUUGGUCAAAGUUUUGUUAGAUUUCGUUUAGAUUAUAAAAUCAUUUGUUAUAGAGUUCAAUUCUAUUAGAAAACCAAAUGACAUCAUAUAUCACUGAAAAUAGACUUCCACGACAGAAUGAAUAGUGAUUCAGUUUAAAUGAACUCAGAUGUUUUGAAAUCUGAUAAACUUCAACUCUAAUGGAGUUGACUUCAACUUCACUAACCAAUAAUACCACCUUAGUUUAGUGGAGGAUCUUUGAGACACAUGCGGUUGCUAAAAAUAACUACAAAAACUUUGAAUCUUUUGAAUACGAAUUUUAUUUAAAAUUUAAAUG